rnacentral:rRNA from 1 species
UCCAGACUCCUACGGGAGGCAGCAGUGGGGGAUAUUGCACAAUGGGGGGAACCCUGAUGCAGCGACGCCGCGUGGGUGAAGGAGCGUUUCGGCGCGUAAAGCCCUAUCGGCAGGGAAGAAGGAGGACGGUACCUGACUAAGAAGCCCCGGCUAACUACGUGCCAGCAGCCGCGGUAAUACGUAGGGGGCAAGCGUUAUCCGGGUUUACUGGGUGUAAAGGGGGCGCAGACGGCAGCGCAAGCCAGGAGUGAAAGCCCGGGGCCCAACCCCGGGACUGCUCUUGGAACUGCGCGGCUGGAGUGCAGGAGGGGCAGGCGGAAUUCCUGGUGUAGCGGUGAAAUGCGUAGAUAUCAGGAGGAACACCGGUGGCGAAGGCGGCCUGCUGGACCGUGACUGACGUUGAGGCUCGAGAGCGUGGGGAGCAAACAGGAUUAGAUACCCGCGUAC